CUAUCACCAAUGUCCUGAGGAGCCUGGUGUCCUGACCCUCCACAGGCGCCACCGGCCACCGCUUUGCUACUGUGUAGCAUCAGCUGCAAUGCCGCCUGCUGUCACGUGGGGCUGCCCGGAGUCUGAGAGGGAGAGCCAAGUGGGUGGCCUCCCCCCACAAAAGAGCUUUGUAUUUCCUAUUCAAUUUUCAUGGAGUUUAUAGAGAGACGCAGAGAGGUGGGGGAGGGAACAACAUCCUGAACUAUUUUACAACUGUAAAUAGGGGACAAAUGGAAAAUAUUUAUAACUGGCAAUAAAAUAUUAUUGAUU
rnacentral:lncRNA from 1 species